UCUCUGGUGGUCCAAUGGUUAGGACUCUGCACUUUUACUGCUGAAGGCCCGGGUUCAAUCCCUGGUCGGAGAA